GACGAACGCUGGCGGCGUGCUUAACACAUGCAAGUCGAACGGAAAGGCCCUGCUUUUGUGGGGUGCUCGAGUGGCGAACGGGUGAGUAACACGUGAGUAACCUGUCCUUGACUUUGGGAUAACUUCAGGAAACUGGGGCUAUUACCGGAUAGGAGCUCCUGCUGCAUGGUGGGGGUUGGAAAGUUUCGGCGGUUGGGGAUGGACUCGCGGCUUAUCAGCUUGUUGGUGGGGUAGUGGCUUACCAAGGCUUUGACGGGUAGCCGGCCUGAGAGGGUGACCGGCCACAUUGGGACUGAGAUACGGCCCAGACUCCUACGGGAGGCAGCAGUGGGGAAUAUUGCACAAGGGGCGGAAGCCUGAUGCAGCAACGCCGCGUGCGGGAUAACGGCCUUCGGGUUGUAAACCGCUUUCGCCUGUGACGAAGCGUGAGUGACGGUAAUGGGUAAAGAAGCACCGGCUAACUACGUG
rnacentral:rRNA from 1 species